AGUCAAGUAAUUAAGUGCAUGUGGUGGAUGCCUUGGCAGUCAGAGGCGAUGAAAGACGUGAUAGCCUGCGAAAAGCUCCGGGGAGGCGGCAAAUAUCCUUUGAUCCGGAGAUGUCUGAAUGGGGGAACCCACCUACUUUAAGGUAGGUAUUGCAACAUGAAUACAUAGUGUUGCAAGGCGAACGAGGGGAAGUGAAACAUCUCAGUACCCUUAGGAAAAGAAAUCAAUUGAGAUUCCCUCAGUAGCGGCGAGCGAACGGGGAUCAGCCCAUUAAGUUAUGUGUGUUUUAGUGGAACGCUCUGGGAAGUGCGAACGUAGAGGGUGAUAUUCCCGUACACGAAAGGGCACACAUAAUGAUGACGAGUAGGGCGAGGCACGUGAAACCUUGUCUGAAUAUGGGGGGACCAUCCUCCAAGGCUAAAUACUCCUGACUGACCGAUAGUGAACCAGUACCGUGAGGGAAAGGCGAAAAGAACCCCUGUGAGGGGAGUGAAAUAGAUCCUGAAACCGCAUGCAUACAAGCAGUGGGAGCACCUUCGUGGUGUGACUGCGUACCUUUUGUAUAAUGGGUCAGCGACUUAUAUUCAGUAGCAGGUUAACCGUAUAGGGGAGCCGUAGAGAAAUCGAGUCUUAAUAGGGCGUUUAGUUGCUGGGUAUAGACCCGAAACCAGGCGAUCUAUCCAUGAGCAGGUUGAAGGUUGGGUAACACUAACUGGAGGACCGAACCCACUGUCGUUGAAAAGCCAGGGGAUGACUUGUGGAUAGGGGUGAAAGGCUAAUCAAGCCUGGUGAUAGCUGGUUCUCCCCGAAAGCUAUUUAGGUAGCGCCUCGGACGAAUACCAUAGGGGGUAGAGCACUGUUUCGGCUAGGGGGUCAUCCCGACUUACCAAACCGAUGCAAACUCCGAAUACCUAUGAGUACUAUCCGGGAGACAGACUGCGGGUGCUAACGUCCGUAGUCAAGAGGAAAACAAUCCAGACCGCCAGCUAAGGCCCCAAAAUCAUAGUUAAGUGGGAAACGAUGUGGGAAGGCAUAGACAGCUAGGAGGUUGGCUUAGAAGCAGCCACCCUUUAAAGAAAGCGUAAUAGCUCACUAGUCGAGUCGGCCUGCGCGGAAGAUGUAACGGGGCUAAAACUAUGUGCCGAAGCUGCGGAUGUAUACUUUGUAUACGUGGUAGGGGAGCGUUCUGUAAGCCGAUGAAGGUGUGUUGAGAAGCAUGCUGGAGGUAUCAGAAGUGCGAAUGCUGACGUGAGUAACGACAAAACGGGUGAAAAACCCGUUCGCCGAAAGACCAAGGGUUCCAGUCCAACGUUAAUCGGGGCUGGGUGAGUCGACCCCUAAGGCGAGGCCGAAAGGCGUAGUCGAUGGGAAAAUGGUUAAUAUUCCAUUACUUCUGUGUAAUGCGAUGAGAGGACGGAGAAGGCUAAAUCAGCCUGGCGUUGGUUGUCCAGGUGAAAGGAUGUAGGCAUGUAUCUUAGGCAAAUCCGGGGUACUCUAUGCUGAGAUCUGAUAGCAAGCUGUACUUGUACAGCGAAGUGGUUGAUGCCAUGCUUCCAGGAAAAGUCUCUAAGCUUCAGUUACACAGGAAUCGUACCCGAAACCGACACAGGUGGUCAGGUCGAGUAGACCAAGGCGCUUGAGAGAACUCUGCUGAAGGAACUAGGCAAAAUGGUACCGUAACUUCGGGAGAAGGUACGCUGUUGUUGGUGAUGGAACUCGCUUCCUGAGCUGACGACAGCCGCAGAAACCAGGCCGCUGCAACUGUUUAUUAAAAACAUAGCACUCUGCAAACACGAAAGUGGACGUAUAGGGUGUGAUGCCUGCCCGGUGCUGGAAGGUUAAUUGAUGGGGUUAGCGUAAGCGAAGCUCUUGAUCGAAGCCCCAGUAAACGGCGGCCGUAACUAUAACGGUCCUAAGGUAGCGAAAUUCCUUGUCGGGUAAGUUCCGACCUGCACGAAUGGCAUAAUGAUGGCGGCGCUGUCUCCAGCAGAGGCUCAGUGAAAUCGAAAUCGCUGUGAAGAUGCAGUGUACCCGCGGCUAGACGGAAAGACCCCGUGAACCUUUACUGCAGCUUGACACUGAACUUUGACCUUACUUGUGUAGGAUAGGUGGGAGGCUUUGAAGCUGGAACGCUAGUUCCAGUGGAGCCGUCCUUGAAAUACCACCCUGGUAAUGUUGAGGUUCUAACUCUGUCCCGUGAUCCGGGACGAGGACCGUGUCUGGUGGGUAGUUUGACUGGGGCGGUCUCCUCCUAAAGAGUAACGGAGGAGUACGAAGGUGCGCUCAGCGUGGUCGGAAAUCACGCGUAGAGUAUAAAGGCAAAAGCGCGCUUAACUGCGAGACCCACAAGUCGAGCAGGUACGAAAGUAGGUCUUAGUGAUCCGGUGGUUCUGUAUGGAAGGGCCAUCGCUCAACGGAUAAAAGGUACUCUGGGGAUAACAGGCUGAUACCGCCCAAGAGUUCAUAUCGACGGCGGUGUUUGGCACCUCGAUGUCGGCUCAUCUCAUCCUGGGGCUGAAGCAGGUCCCAAGGGUAUGGCUGUUCGCCAUUUAAAGAGGUACGCGAGCUGGGUUUAGAACGUCGUGAGACAGUUCGGUCCCUAUCUACCGUGGGCGCUGGAAAUUUGAGAGGAUCUGCUCCUAGUACGAGAGGACCAGAGUGGACGAACCUCUGGUGUACCGGUUGUGACGCCAGUCGCAUCGCCGGGUAGCUAUGUUCGGAAGGGAUAACCGCUGAAAGCAUCUAAGCGGGAAGCCUACCUCAAGAUAAGAUUUCCCUAGGACUUUAUGUCCUCUAAAGAGCCGUUCGAGACUAGGACGUUGAUAGGUUGGAUGUGGAAGCAUAGUGAUAUGUGAAGCUGACCAAUACUAAUUGCUCGUGAGGCUUGACUAU
rnacentral:rRNA from 1 species